rnacentral:rRNA from 1 species
AAACUUUCAACAACCGAUCUCUUGGUUCUCGCAUCCAUGAAAAACCUAACGAAAUGCGAUAAAUAAAGGGAAUUGCAAAAUCUCCUGAAUCAUUGAAUUUUUGAACGCACAUUGGGCCCUCCGGUAUUCCAAAAGGCAUGGCUGGUUGAACGUCAUU